AGUGAACGCUGGCGGUAGGCCUAACACAUGCAAGUCGAACGGCAGCACAGUAAGAGCUUGCUCUUACGGGUGGCGAGUGGCGGACGGGUGAGGAAUACAUCGGAAUCUACUUUUUCGUGGGGGAUAACGUAGGGAAACUUACGCUAAUACCGCAUACGACCUACGGGUGAAAGCAGUGGAUCUUCGGACCUUGCGCGAUUGAAUGAGCCGAUGUCGGAUUAGCUAGUUGGCGGGGUAAAGGCCCACCAAGGCGACGAUCCGUAGCUGGUCUGAGAGGAUGAUCGGCCACACUGGAACGGGGACACGGUCCAUACUCCUACGGGAGGCAGCAGUGGGGAAUAGUGGACAAUGGGCGCAAACCUGAUCCAGCCAUACCGCGUGGGUGAAGAAGGCCUUCGGGUUGUAAAGCCCUUUUGUUGGGAAAGAAAAGCAGCAGGUUAAUACCCCGCUGUUCUGACGGUACCCAAAGAAUAAGCACCGGCUAACUUCGUG
rnacentral:rRNA from 1 species